CCUCAGAGCUGUUGGGUUUUUAUGCCUAAACCCGAAAUAGCUCCCAUGUGCGGGGGCCGGCUGCAGGGAGACGGCGGCUUUGGGCACAGAUGGGGGACGCACAGGCAGAGGCGCGCGGAGACAGACAGGGACGUGUGGAAAUAGAAACAGACAGACAGGGACACAGCUCGCGAUGAUGGGUGCGCUUUGCUGCCGCCGAUCCUUGUCUAAAGGCUUGGGGGAGGGAGAGGCCGGCUCACUCAACCUUCACACCCAGGCACUGAAGACUUUUGCUUGGUGGCCAUGAGUCACUGACUUAGAAACUCUGAGUCUCAGUUUCUCAUCUGUGAAAAUGGGAUGAUAAUGUGUAUGGGUUCCACGUGAGAAUGAACUAAGAGCUGAGCCUGUGGAAGCCUUUUGGAACCCAAGUCAGAUCCCGGCCUUCCUCUGCUGAGAAGCCUAGAUGGCUUGCAUAGCUUUGGUUUUCCUUUUGCUGUACUGAGAAUUGAACCCAGGUGUGCCUUACCACUGAGCUACAUCCCCAGCUCUUUUUUAUUUUAUUUUGAGAUAGGGUCUCACUAAAUUGUCUAGAUAUUCUUCCUGCCUCAACCUCCUGAGUAGCUGGGACCAACCACAAGCAUGCAACACUGCCCCACUAAAAAUUAUUGCAGAUUAGCUGGGUGUGGUAGCACGUCUGUUCUCACUGCUACUCAGGAUGCUGAGGCAGGAGGAUCACAAAUUUGAUGCCAAUUUAGGAAAUUUUAGACUUUGUCUCAAAAUUUAAAAAAAAAAAUUGUUACAGACUAUAGUUACCCCACUUUGCUAUAGAAUACCAGAACUAAUUCUUCCUAACUGUACUUUUUUUUUUUUUCUUGCCUUAUUGCAAUAUCUACACUUCAGUUUAAGGUCGACUAGAAGUGAAUGUAAACAUUGUCCCACUGGAUGACAAAGCAGUAUCCAUUAAUCAUGGGCCCCAAGUACAAUUUCAAAGAAUGCUGAAGGGAAGAAGGGAAAAAGAGGACACAGGGAGAGAAGGUGCAGAGAGGUAGAGAAUAGGUCAUGAAUGUAGACAGGCAGAGAAUGGGUUAUGUAUAAAAUGCCCAGGUUCCAAAAUCAUGCUUACAGACUCGCAUUCAAAUCUGCCUCUGCCAUUUCCUGGUUGUAUAACCUUGGAAAAGUCACCCAGCCUCUCUGGGCCCAUUUCAUCAUCUGUAAAACAGAGAUAGUAUUUAGACCUACCUGCUGGGACCAUUGUGAGGUACAAACUCAUCUCCUCCCAUCCUUGCCCUUACCCCUUCCUUGCUGUUCCUCACUUAGAACAUAUUCAAACCUCAGGACCAUUGUACAUGCUUUCUUCUACCCAGAAAAUCUUGUUCUAUUCUCACUCCCUGAAUCCUCUUGAUGCUGCUUUUGUUUCAUCCAUAUACUUUAGACUUAUAAUAUUAUAACAAGACAUGUAAUUCACUUACUCCCUACUACCCCCCCUUCUUUCUUUCUUCUGUACCAGGGAUUAAAUCUAGAGCCUCACACAUGCUGGGUAAGUAUUCUACCAAUGAGCUAUGCUUCUGGCCCUAGCUAUUGCUAUUUUUUGAUGAAAUAGCGAUUUUGGUUAGUUUUGUUCCCUGCUGAGACCCCAGAGGACCUAGCAGGGAACAGUACUUUGUAUUGUGGCUACAUAGUAGAUCCUCAAAAAAAUAUCUUUUGAAUGAAUGAUUUUAUUUGACUUCUUUACUUCUUUUGGGGUCUCUGCUUCCCUGACACUGAUGCCUCCCUUCACACCAUCACCUUCUGUCACAUUCUCAGCUUUAUCUUUCCUAUCAACAUUUAUUAUUAUUAUUAUUAUUAUUUUGGUACCAGGAAUUGAACCCAAGGGUGCUUUAACUCCUGAGCCACAUCCCCAGGCCUUUUUAUUUUUUGAAGAGUCUUGCUAAGUGGCUUAGGACCUUGCUAAAUUCUUGAUGCUAGCCUCAAACUUGUGAUCCUCCUGCCUCAGACUCCAAAAUAGCUGGGAUUACAGGUGUGUACCACCACACCCAGCCCUCUUAACUUUUAAUGCCCCGCAUAUAUAUUUGUCCCUCUAUCCCUCAGUUCCACAAGGGGAGGGGAUUUUCUAUCUUGUUCUAGGUUGUGUCCAGGGUCAACUUAAUGGACAUACAACCUGUGAAGUCACACAUGUCCCCAUGCUUAGGUUUAGUGAAGUCCCAUAUGUUCCCAUGCUUAGGUUUAGUGUGCUAUACUUGUACUUGUUCACUCUGGUACCAGUACCUUGCAACUCUUGAUAAUUUUGAACAGGGACUCUGUAUUUGCAUUUGUUCUGGGUCCUGUGAAUCCUAUAGGGGGUCCUGGCUAUAUCCCAAGUCCCUUGAACAGCCCAGGUAGAUAUUCAAGGAUUUAUGGGAUGAAGGAAAGAACAAAGGAGUGAACACAGGCCCCACAGGCCGUGGAGAAGCAGAGACAUGCAUCCUACUGUCCAGAAAAACAGCAAUUCUACAGAAAUCAGCCUGCAGAAGGAGGGAGAGCCUCAGGAACUGGGUGGAGGGGUUCCUCUAAGCCUGCCCUCUCCUCCUCUGGACAGCAGGCUGGCUGGGAAGGAGGGUCCAGAUGGCAGAGCAGGCUGCUCUGGGCAGCUGGCACCAGGCUCAGGCUGAGUGAGGCCUCUUCCCCCACUCAGCUAGCCCAUCAGUGUCGUCAGCCACCAGCUCAGCCUGGGGGCCUUUGUUCACACCAUGGCCUUAAACUUAUUUGCAACUAACCAAGCUCCACACCCAGAGCUAAAGCAGGCAUGGGAAGCAAUCCCGAGGGCUUCAGACAUGUGUGCAUACACAUCGGUGCAUAUGUAAUUGGACAGGCAGACUUUCCAGGAGUCUAAAUGUUAUAUAGUUGAGAUCAUAUCAUAGCUGGAGAAAAUGACAGCAGCGCCACAUCAGUGUAUGUGGGCAUGAGGUUGGACGUGCCUCUGUGUGACUGUGAGUGUGUGUGUGCAUGUGGGGUGGGUAUGUGCAUCUAGAUGCAGCAGGAAGCAAUAUUCACCGAGGUUAAAAAUGCAGGUUUUACUGUAAUCCCAGUGGCUCAGGAGGCUGAGGCAGGAGGAUCAUGAAUUCAAAGCCAGCCUCAGCAACUCAUUGAGGCCCUAAUUAACUUAGUGAGAGACUCUUCUCUAAAUAAAAUAUAAAAAGGGCUGGAGAUGUGGCUCAGUGGUUAAGCACCCCUGGGUUGAAUCCCUGGUACCAAAUCAGAGCUUGGUGACAUACACCUAUAAUCUCAUUCGCUCUAGAAGCUGAGGCAGGAGGAUAGCAGGUUUAAGGCCAGCCUUGGAAAACUAGCAAGGUCCUAAGCAACAAGAUAUCUGAGACUUGUGGCUAAGAGACCCCUGUCUCAAAAAAAAAAGGGGGGGGGCUGGGGUAAUAGCUCAGUGGUAAAGCGUCCCUGGGUGCAAUAAAAUAAAAUAAAAAUAAAACUGGGUGCAGUGGCACAUUCCUGUAAUCCCAACCACUGGGGAGCAGAGGCAAGAGGAUUGCAAGUUCAUGGCCAGCCUUUGCAACUCAGCAAGAUCCUCUCUCAAAGUAAAAAUUAAUAAAAGUCUGGGGAUGUAGCUCGGUGAUAAAACACUCUGGUACCACUACUUAAGGAAAAUAAAAUGCAGGUUCUGCACUGAGGAUUAGCUCAGUGGUAGAGGACUUGCCCAGCACAUGGUUCUAUCCCCAGUACAGUUAAAAAAAAAAAAAUCUCUGCUCUGCUACUCAAUAGCCAAGGCUCUCAGGCUCCACACAUAGAUAGUGCUCAACUGCACUGUACUGAUUACAUUUGUCUGGAUUUGAAUACUUUUGAAAAGAAAUUCAGUUCCUCCCACAGGUCUUCCUGGACAUCCAACCUGAAAUUCAUCUGCCCAUUUUUCUCUCCUGGCACAAGUUCUUUAUUGUCAUUGCAGUCUUAAUCACUAUGGAACUCAGGGCAAGCACUUGCUAAGCAUAGGAUCUACCACUGGGCUGUACCUCUUAAUCACAAUGUUGUUAUAUAUUAAUUUGUUUGCUUAUUUUUUUCUGUUUCCUCCUCUAUCAGCUCCA
rnacentral:lncRNA from 1 species